GGGAGCAUCUGGGCAGCUGGGGGGCCUGUGCGUCCUUCCAAACCCAUUGCUCUCGUUUUGGCCUAGGCAUCUGAGCUCCCUUUCCUGCUCCCUGGACCCUCCAGUUCCCUCCCAAAUCAAGCAACUUCCCGCCCACCCGUCCUCCUGGUCAGCAUGGUCAAGCAGCUCCCCAUCUGCUGCCCAUGUUGUGUCCCCCCAUCAUCUCAACUGAGCCAUGAGAAAUCCAGGGCAGGUGUGCGGUGGGACAGGAUGCUCUGGGAAGUCCUGUCCAUCAUCACACCACAUCCUGCCGGGAAGAGGCAGAACCGGGGCUUGGCCAGGCAACACAGGCCUCACCACCUCUGCAGAGAGAGCAAGACUGGGAAGCCUGUGACCCUCAGGGCAUGUCAACCUGUGGCCAUCUUCCUUUUGCCGUGUGACCUUGAUCAGGUGACUCAACUUCUCUGAACCUCUGUUUUUCUCAUUUACGUAGUACAACAGGGAUGCUGAGCUCAUAAUUUGUCGUAUAGAUUAGUAACAGCACACAGAAAAUACCUGACAGGGCUUCUGCGCAAAAAACAGUACUUACUUUUAGGACAUUUCCUGCCCUUGUUCCCCAGUGGAAUUGGAGCCUACACACACACGCGCGCGCGCACACACACACACACACGACUCUGAACACCUGUGUGCCUGUGGUAAGACACCGAGUUACCAUCUUAGCAGGGUGGGCUGUCUCUGUCAGUGCCAACCACCCCUCAAGCUGGCCUUACUCGUUGCUGAAUUCCAGGGCUGAGUGGAACCUGGCACUUGGGAAGCCCUUGGUCAAAGUUUCUCUGGGAAAUGAAGGAAAGAAUGAAUUCAUGCUCAUCUCCUGUGAUUGUCCCAGGCCCUGGCACAGUAACUACUUUGGAUAUUCUGCUAUGACCGUCAGACCAAGCUCACCAAAUCUUCAUUUUGACAUUGAUAAAGUGCAACAUAACCACACACUAAAUCAGAUCGGCAUGGACGAAGCUCUGCACAGAAUGUGUCCCUGCUGGGCCCCGGGCCACAAUCCCCUGCCUUCGUUGCUCACUUGCUCAAACCCAGUGCACGUUUCUCCCAGCAGCAUGAGACCCAUCAACUCACCACACACAGCCAUGAACUUGCUAGUGCUGGCUGCUUGAAGUCACUAUGCUGCGUUUGUGGGCAUGUUUGUUACCCAGCUAGAGCUGAGUGGUGUAGCAGGGAAGGGUUCCCUGCUGAGGCAGGGCAGAGCUACAUCAGAACAGCCUGGAGGAGUUAACCAGAGAAGGACCAAGAGAAGGUGGAGGGACCUAACAAUGGGCCCAGCAGCCAUUUGGCAGGGGUGGAGCAGCCUGUUAUUUUCUACCACUUUAUUGAACAUCCACCCAGAAAAUGGACUAGUUGGGAAAUCAUGCCACAGUGAAUAACCACACACGUACAACCCGAGCACACCCUCUUAUGUUCCUGCCACCAAGGCCUGACGCUGUCCUGGCCUGGUCACCUGGGGUCAUCAGCAGACCCUGACAGUCCGCACUUCGUGUCUGGGUUCUUUCACUCCGCAUGAUGGUCAUGAGGCCUGUCCGUGUCCUCUUGUUCUCCUCCAUGACAGCGUUCCAUGACGUGUCAGUCUCCCCUGGUGGCCCUGGGACCCUGGCCGUGAAGAACAGUGCUGCUAUGAACACUCGUGAACACGGCUUCCGAGGGACACGCGUGAACAUUGUGGUCAGUCUAGACGAGCAACGGAGUUGCAUACAAGCAAGAAGGUCUUUAGAGGAACUGAGAGGAACAGGUGGCCUGAGGGAAGGACGGGGAGAUUGAGGACAGCAGGUCAACCUGGGAGCCCCCGCGCAGGUUACAAGAGGCUGGAUUUUAUAAAAGGAAGCCAGGGAGAGAUGUGCCUGGCUGACAUUGUAAGAUCACUCUUUUUUUUUGGUGGGGGGUACCAGGGAUUGAACUCAGGGGCACUGACCACUGAGCCACCUCCCCAGCCCUAUUUGGUAGUUUGUUUAGAGUCAGGGUCGCACGGAGUUGCUUAGGGCCUCGCUGUUGCUGAGGCUGGCUUUGACCUCGUGGUCCUCCUGCCUCAGCCUCCUGAGCUGCUGGGAUGACAGGCCUGCCCCACCACACCCAGCUUAAGAUCGCUCUUGAGGUCAGAGACUGUUGAGGGGGACAGGGAAGCAGGCAGGCAGUGGCAGAGGGAGCCUCAGGAAGAGGUGGUGGUGGCCCAGACUGGAGAUGGGCAGGAGAGGUGGGAUCUGGGUAUUGAGAUCUGUGCAAUCGCAACUCAACAGCUUAAAACAACAGUCUACUCCCCCACGGUUUUGGGGUCUCCUGUGUUGACAGACAGAUGAUUCCCGGGUCUGGAGCUGUCCCAAAGCUCCCCUGUGCUGAAGAUGUCCUCACCCCACCUGGCUCCAGGCUGGGCUGACUGGAGCAUCUGGCUGGUGGGACAUCCCUAUCUCCCCUCCACCCAGCCCAGUUCCUGGGCAGCCAGUGGGGCCCCUCACAGUGGCUUGUCAACUGACAACAGCUAUCUUGGCCCAGAGCAAGUGUCUCAGCAGACCAGCACAGCCUAGUGAUGGAGUCCCCGAGGCCCCAGAAUAUGACUAGCACCACGUCCUCUGAGCCAGGCCAGCCAUGAAGCCCAGCCAGGUCCAAGGGAGGGAUGUGAGGAGGGGGCCCAGCAGGUGCAGGGAGGCAGGGUGCAUGGAUGGUGCCGCCCCUCCCCUUCUUCCCUCGGUGCCACACAAUGAAGCUGAGGUUCACAACAGGUGGCCCACACCACAGAGGUGUCCUGGGAGUGUCGUGGUGUCCCAGUCCCCUCGGAGGGUGUGAGGACACUGGGGAUGCUCACAGGCGGACACAUCCACGGAGCCACACAGGAUCCUGAUCCCACAAGGCCACACUGAGGCUUCUUCACAAAUAUGCGCAUUUGGGGUCCAGCAAGGCGCCUGCCUGAAGAGGGCAGACAGAGUCCCUUCCCCCCACUGGCUGGUGACUGGCCCCAGAGGUCUGGUCUUGCCUGAGGCCAGAAAAGCCCAAGCACUUCCCAGUGGGUCUUGAACUUGAAGGGCCACACUUACUAACCUGCCCCGGCUCAGAAACACCAAAGGUGGCCCGCUUGGACCGCACAGGUCUGACCUGGUUUCUGUACAGUAUCUGGCUCCAGGCCCUUCUCAAGUGGCUUUAGGGACACGUUGGAACUUUUCUGUCCUGUUUCCUCAUCAGUAUAACGGUGCCUCCUUCAAGGGCUGUGUGUUGGGGGGUGGGGGGAAUUAAAGGAGCAGUGACUUCCAAAUGUUGGCGGCCCAGGGAGGCACUAGAUGCACAAUAAAACUCGUCACUGAGUUGCCCGUGCGGAACUGCCAUGGCAGGGACAGGCCCCGGGUGUCACCAGCCCACCCCUGACUUUAAAACCAUAUUUCCUGGGAUUAUCAGCAACAGAGUUUGCUUUUAAUUUCAAAAUGUUUAAAGAAUAUAAAUUGUUGCCAACAACCCCUGGAGGAGUUUUCUCUCUCCCAUCUCCCCCUCCCACAUCUUCACAUGGCCACUCUCUCUUUAUGGGGGAAACCAAUUUAUCUUUUGCUUCUCUGGCAAAUGCACAUUCCUUAAAUAAAGUUCUAAUGCCUAACACACACACACACACACACACACAAAUAUCACCAACCUAUCUCCAGGGAAGCAGCCUUUGACUGUUCAAACCUGGGAGAACUAAAGGGUUUUAUUUGUGGAAAUUGGGGCAUCCGGUGCUGUCUACUUAGGGAAGUAGAAUCUCUUUAAACCACCCACCAACUCCUCCAUGCACCACACAGAUUAAUCAAGUCUUGGAGAAAGUAUUGAUCUUCCAUAUUAUAGGUACUCUUCCACGGUCAGGGCAGGUCUUCUUCUGAUGUGGUCCGUUUGGUGCUGCAGAAACCAUCCGAAUCUGCCUGAAGCGUCUCUUCUCUAUACGCAUAUCUAUGGCCUCAUACUAUCCUGCCAGGUAGAGGCUGUGGGUCCCAUUUUAAGUCGAGGGCACAGAGAAACACAGAGGUUAAGAACUUGCCCGGGGUCACACAGCUCGUAUGUGGCCACAGGAAGACUAGAACCCCCACUUCUGUCCACUAUGCCCUACAGGAAAUGUCCUCUGUCUUUUUGCUGGCUGCUGGGUUCUACGGCCCAGCAUGUCCCCCGACACCAGCUGGCAUGUCAUGUUGCACAGGAUUCCUGGAGGAAGGUGGCAACUGGUAGUGACAUUUGACAGGAAAAAAAAAAACAUCAGCGUACGGGCUGCACUUGACAUACUUAAGGUACCCGGGGGACCCCGACCUUCCUGAGGCACCCAGGGUUCAAUGAGUAUCAGGAAUCACGACUUGGUAAAAUGAAGUGUGAGUUGUUUGCUCGUGCAUGCAGCGAGCAUGGAUUGAGGACUACUUGGGGAGCAGCCUAGGUCUGUGCUCUGGUGAUUCAAGAUGAGUUUGCCCACUCCCAGGGCACUCUCCAGGAGCUUGGAGUGAGGGGAUCUAAAGGUCCAUGGGGUUCAGGCUUGUUUCCCAACCUGGCAGUACUGGCUAUUGGGAGGCACUGGACCCUUUAAGAGGUGGGGCCUGGAGGGAGGUAUUUAGGUCACUAAGAGUCAUGUCCUCAAAGGGCAUGUGGGGCCCUGGGUCCUUCCUUCCUCUUUCUUUUCUGGGCCAUGAAGUAAGUGGUCUUCCUCUGCCCCAUUCUCCUGCCAUAAUGCCCUGCUUCACCCAAAGCACAGGAGCCAACCCAUCACGGGCUGAAACCUCUAACACCGUAAAACAAAGCAAACUUGUUCCGUUAAUAAGUUGAUGAUCUCAAGGUUAUUUGUGAUAGUAACAGAAAGCUGAUGAACAGUGGGCAUGGCAGAUGAGGAGGUCCUGGAAGCAGAAGUACUCGUGGAGAGUGCCGAGAAAUUCCUGAACCAGCCCCAGGCACUGUCAUUCCACUGUCCCAACAGCUCAAGAUUCUGCCCCCACAGCUGCUGCUUGGUGAAGGCCACUACCACGUCACACCUGGGUCAGGAGCCAGGCCACACCACCAAGAACCUGUGCACAGCUGGAUCUGAGCAUAGACCCAGGCCACCUGGACUUUCAACCAAUGUUUGCCGAAUGAAUAAACCAGGCCAGGAGUCUCUGCCGUGCUGCAGCCCGUGACAUCAUAAUCAGACCCCUGCGCAGGAGAGGCUUUUGACCUAUUUGAAGAAUACACACUGGUCCACCUCGCUAGGACCUAUUAUAAGAUCUUAACAUCAUUUGAAAUUCCUGAAGGUUUUUAUACACUGACAACUGCUAUGAUUCCAACGGAGAUAAAACUUUAGAAAAAUAUCACACAAACAUGCUGGAGACAUAUGACUAAGCCACAAGGCUGAGUGUCCGUCUGGUCCACGGCAUCAUCCUCGUCUAGUCACAUUUGGAAGACCCGUGGGCAGGCUGCGAGACCACAGGACAAACAGGCUCAGCCUUGCUCUGCAGCCCUGGGCUGGUUACUUAGCAGAUUAAGCCCCAAGUAAAAAGGAUCCCGGCCCCUGUGACCUCCCAAUGUCACUGUGAAGACCAGAUGAGCACCAGCUGAGGAGGGGCUGUCCAACCCUGCAGGACAGUGCCCACAUAAAGGGUCACAGCUGUAUCCAAAGAAAGCAGCACCCCUCUGGUCCCCAUCACAGGACUCCCUGGAAAGUGGCUGGAAGGGGACACUGGGGUUGACUUUGUUGUUUCUAUUAUUUCCUGAAGUGGGGGUGGGCUGCACAGAUGCCAGUCUGCUGGGCUCCCUGCCCCGGUUCAUUAGUCCCCACAAGCAGAGACAGGAGGUUUAGGAGCCCUCAUGUGGGGGGGGGGAUGUUGGAGUCAGUCAUCUCUCAGAUCCAUCCACAGAUCCUCUGCAGUUCUGACUCCUCCAGUCCUGUUCCUUGGCAGAAAUUGGUUUUAAACAAUGACUAGCAUUCUAGAAGAACCCGGCAAUGUCUAUAAAAUCAGUUUCUGGAAACUCCCAGGAAGCCAAGCCCUGGGGCAGAGUACUUUUCCUUCCCCCCCCCCCCAAAAAAAAUGUACAAGAAAGAGUCUUGUUAAUUCACGCAAGUUGCCAAGUGCCCAGUUCCCUGUGGAAGCCACACACCCCUCCCCCAGGAGGCUGCCCACACCCCAAGGAAGGGACAUUGUGUAUCUCGGUAUUUGCCUGUCCCUCGAUCAUAUGUACUUUGCCCGUGGCAAAUAUGCAAACAAGUUUUGGUCACCUCCCUACAAGUUUACUGGGGUCCAUGACGUCAGGAUCAACUGCUGGUUGUUUUGACCUCCUGCUCUGUAAGCUCAGGCCAACAGUGAGGAACAGUCUCUCAUCCACUUGUUCAAUAUUGAGAACUCUCUCUAUGUCAGGCACUGUGCUAAGGGCUCAGAUAGAGAAAUGAAUAAGACACAACCUUGAUCUCAAGCACUUCACAGAUGACUGGGGAAAACCACCAAGUAAACAUAAUUACCAUCUGGUACAGACAUGGGUAGCAGGGUUCAUGGGUAUUACAAACAUAGUACCAAAUACUAUGUGAAUACUUACCAGACAGGCACUCAGCUGACCCAGCGAGAAACCAACAUUGGAAAAUGUGCUCUUGAGGUGGCUAUGACUGAGGAAUCAGCUAGGAAAAGAUAAAUGCAGACAGGAGAGGAUGAACAUAUUUCAAAGGGAACAAGCUAAGCAAAGGUCUGGAGGUGAUCAGGUAUGUUUGCCCAUUUUUUGUCACUAUAACGAAAUCCCCGAGGCUAGUUAACUUAUAAAGAAAAGAGGGUUAUUUAGCUCACAGCUUUUGAGGCUGAAAGUCCAAAUAGCAUAGUGCCAGCUCUGGUGAGGGACCCCGGCUACAUCACAUCAUGGGGGAGGCAUCAGGGCAGGAGGGUGAGUAACAAAGAGAGAUCCCAUGUGAGCCAGAAUUACCUUAAUGUCUUCUGAGGAAAACAUCCCCAGCAAGAUCUAGGCCCUGCCAUUGGCCCGGCUCUUAAGGGACCUGCCACCACUCAGAUGGCUGUAGGGAGUGCAAAGUGCCAGUGCGGCCCCCAUGCCUUUUGAAAACUUUCCAGAAAAGCAGACCUUGAGGCGGAGGGUGCAAUGUCUGGUAUACAGUGUGUGCUCAAGCGAUGAGGAUCUUGGCCUUACAGGAGCUGUAGCUACCUGGGCAAUGUUCCCCCAAAGACCAGGCCUCCCAUGUCCAGGAACCUCACUUGAAUCAGCCACAGUGCCCAGCCUGCCACUGGUACCCACACACACACGCCCACACACGCUGCUCAAAGCCAGGUUCUCCCUGCCUCCCACCCCAUGAUGGAGAGGAAGCCUGAUUCUCUUGGCCAUUUGCUUUCCAGAAGAAUAAUUUUCGGUGCAACUUCAGCCUGUAACAAUUAUGGAAAAUAAAAUGAAGAGUAAGAACAGGAAGACGGCUAGCAGAUAGGGCGCUACGGGGGGAGGCCUGGCUACCACCCUGGCUCUGCAGGAGGCAGACACAGACCUGCUCCCUCCAGGGUGAAAUGACCACGUGAGUGUGAAUCUAGGCAGUGGAAAGUCUGAUCCUGCCUCAGGGGGGCCUUGAGCUCAGGGCCUGAGCCCCUGAUAGGACCCCUGGGAUGGGGGAUCCUAGGAGGGGGGGACUUCUCCUCUCUGUGGCUCAGCUCCAAAGUCCUCCUAGCUCCUCUGCUGACUCCCACCCCAGCUCCUUAGCCCAAGUGGAUCUUCCCCUCUCUGGAGCUCACCCUGGGUGACCUGAGGGGACCUCUCACUCUCCUUCAGGGCCUGUUUCAAGGACACAGGCCUGUGUCUCAGGAGCCUCCACAGGGGCUGAGGAAUGAGUAGCUGAGCUUCCAGUACUCAGUGCUCACCGCCAACAGCCAUGACCAACACAUGUUGGCCCUGCCCACACGUCCCCCUCUCGGAAUCCUCCACAGAGAGCCAUUUUCUGUAAGGCCCUAGAUGUCUGACAGGCAGAGCACUGAGCACAGGCCCCUAAGUCAUUUCUCAGCAAAUUCCAUGCCCCCAGGCCUCACUCUUUCUGUGUCCAACCAAUAAAGAGCUCUUUGACUGUA